GAUGAACGCUGGCGGCGUGCCUAAUACAUGCAAGUCGAGCGAACGGACGAGGAGCUUGCUUCUCUGAUGUUAGCGGCGGACGGGUAAGUAACACGUGGAUAACCUACCUAUAAGACUGGGAUAACUUCGGGAAACCGUAGCUAAUACCGGAUAAUAUUUUGAACCGCAUGGUUCAAAAGUGAAAGACGGUUUUGCUGUCACUUAUAGAUGGAUCCGCGCUGCAUUAGCUAGUUGGUAAGGUAACGGCUUACCAAGGCAACGAUGCAUAGCCGACCUGAGAGGGGGAUAGGCCACAUUGGAAGUGAGACACGGUCAAGACUCCUAAGGGAGGCAGCAGUAGGGAAUCGGACGCAGUGGGGGAAAGCAUGACGGAGCAAGGGCGAGUGAGUGAUGAAGGUGUUCGGAGCGGAAAAAUCGGUUACUAGGGAAGAACAUAUGUGUAAGGAGCUGAGGAGAUCUUGACGGUACCUACUGAGAAAGCAACGGCUAACUACGUG
rnacentral:rRNA from 1 species